rnacentral:lncRNA from 1 species
CUCACUUGACGCCUCAGUAAAAGAUGUUAGGUCACUUGGCCUCUGGUCUCCUAAUCUAAAGUCUGUAUCCAGAGACACUGUGCUACCAUAGGGGGUGCUUGCUACUUUUGUAAAACACCCCUCCCUCACCUCUCCAGGCUGUACCUCUAACAAUUAUUCCCUGUUCCUCAACAGCGCAUUUCCUCUCUCCUGUCAGCAGCUAUUAUGUUCCCUGGAGACCUGCUAUGACAAAAUGGAUCCUCUCCAUCUCCACAAUCAGAAUUUUCCAACUCCAUGUCCCAUUCACUAUUUUGAAAAUCACUUUGAUUUUGAGUGACGGAUACAAUAGAGUUUAGGGCUUCGAGUGUAGUUCCCAGGGUAACAAGUGGUAGUGCCCUUGACGAGUGUAUGCAAGGCCCCAGAGUUCAUCCCAGCACUGUUUGAAAAGUAAGGGCGUGGAGAAAGGCUGUAUAUAAUGUAUGUGAACCAUUUAAAGGACGAUGGAAUGAACAGCAUCCUGUACCCACCACUCAGCUUAGAUAACAGACCUGGAGAACAUGUCUAGGCCCCUCCCCCAUUACUACUCUUCCUUCCACCAGAAGAGGAACCAACAUCCUGAAGUUUGUGUACAUUGUCCCUUUGGUCUUCUUUUUCUUGAUGGUUUUAUCUCCUGCAUAUGCCUAUUUUUGAGCUUUGUAUAAAUUUAACUCAUAUAUACCAUGGUUUUUAAAGUCUCUAUUUUUAUAAUUCAUGCAUAUUUAAUAUGUAUAGUUCUAUCUCUUUCCACUACUGUAUUCUACUGUAUUCUACAAGCACACCAUGAUUCUGUUUAUACAUUUUCCCUUUGGCGGACAUUUGAACAGUUGCAGCUUUCUCACUGAUAAGCAAUACUUUGUGAAUGCUGUAAGGUGUGUAUGUGCUGUGAGGAUCUCUCUAGGAACUGCUAGGAAUGUGUGUGUUCAAACUUAUCGAUGUCAAAGAACAAUAGAGUCUUUAUUACACCUUUAUUAAAUAAAAUCCUGUUCAGCCCUCUCUCCAUCUGCUAAUCAU